UGCCUCGCUUCAACAUCGAGUCUCGCUCAAGUCGAGUUUUGCUACACCCUCGCACUGGCGAUACCAGUCCAGGAACUAUAAAAAGUAUAGAAUGGGUUUGCGUUAUCUCCCUUUGCAUCUUCUCGGGAAUGUGUGAAACAUUUAGUCCAUAGUAGCAGAGUCACAGGCACUACAUCUAUUGCAUGAAUAGAAGGUAAUUCAAGAUGGUAAAUGUUGGGGAUCAGCUGAAGAAGACGUCAAAAGGACAGCUGUUGUAUUCCAGAGACCUAGAUGACAAGUCCGUGAAGAUCUUGCUUGAACAAUGCUCAUCUCCCCCAACCAUUUCAUCUUUUCAUAAGGAAGUUACAGAUGUUUCCAUUGGCAGUUCCUUUGGUUUACAGGAAAAAGUUGACGAGAAAGGAAAAUAUGAGGAAAAAGGGCAAAAAGAAGCAUACAAUGAGGAUAUGUGCAAAAAAGUCACAGAUGACAUGCAGGUUAAGCAUGCUGACAUGCAGGUUGAAAGCAAUGCUAGAAAUAGCAAAUUACUGCAGGAAAGAAAGACUGAAACAAUAUGUGAUGAAUCAAAAUCAGAGUUAGAAGAGCAACUGUCACAUUUGUUCAACAUCAGCCUCACAACCAUCAAUGAAUUAGACAGUGAGUGGGACAACAAAGCUCGGGACUACUUGAGGGAGAAAGAAAUUCAGUUUCACAAAAAUGACAUGGAGCUUAAACAACAGUAUGAACAGCAUAUGGAAGAUGCACGCAGACGUGUCAUGCAGAAGCCAGUAAUCAAGCAAAGUCAGUUUGAGCAAGAACUUAAUACAAAUGAAGGAAAGAUUCCACAAACUGUUCAGAAGCUAAGAAAAAGCCACAGUGAUUGUACAUUGAGACAAGAUGCUCGUAUAAAAGAAGUAGAAGAACUAAACCAGACCCUUAGGCAAGAAAUGGUUAAAAGACAAGAGUUAGAAAGGAAGAUUGCAAGCAUUCAAAAACUUGCUCAGGAAAUUCAAGAAGUGACUAGCUUGUUACAGUCUUCUAUUGAUGGCUGCCAAUACAAGAAUCACUUGGGACUUGAUGUUGAGAAAAGCAAGACCUGGGCAACAGUGUUGCUAAAGAAGUUGAGAUUCUUGCAAACAUGGCUGGAAAAAAUGGAGACGAUGAUGAAAUUUUACACAAAUUGAAACAGUUCAAAGAUAGCACCCAGAAUUUUGGUGAUUUAAUAAAAAAGGCCAUAGUGACAGCAGAAGAGAAAGGCAAAGAGGCAGAGGUUUCAAGGCAGUUGAUUCAGUCAGCACCUCAGCUAGCUCAGCCACAAAAAACAGCUGUAGAGGUGCAGCCAACAGCAGCUGAUGCAUCUCAUACUGAAG
rnacentral:misc_RNA from 1 species